UACGGGGGGGGCAAGCGUUGUUCGGAAUUACUGGGCGUAAAGGGCUCGUAGGUGGCCAACUAAGUCAGACGUGAAAUCCCCAGGCUCAACUUGGGAACUGCGUCUGAUACUGGAUGGCUUGAAUUCGGGGGAGGGAUGCAGAAUUCCAGGUGUAGCGGUGAAAUGCGUAGAUAUCUGGAGGAAUACCGGUGGCGAAGGCGGCAUCCUGGACCGAUAUUGACACUGAGGAGCGAAAGCCAGGGGAGCAAACGGG
rnacentral:rRNA from 1 species